rnacentral:rRNA from 1 species
CAGCAGCCACGGGAAUACGGAGGGAGCUAGCGUUGUUCGGAAUUACUGGGCGUAAAGCGCGCGUAGGCGGUUACUCAAGUCAGAGGUGAAAGCCCGGGGCUCAACCCCGGAACUGCCUUUGAAACUAGGUGACUAGAAUCUUGGAGAGGUCAGUGGAAUUCCGAGUGUAGAGGUGAAAUUCGUAGAUAUUCGGAAGAACACCAGUGGCGAAGGCGACUGACUGGACAAGUAUUGACGCUGAGGUGCGAAAGCGUGGGGAGCAAACAGGAUUAGAUACCCCGGUAGUCCCUGUCUCUUAUAC